AUGAAGAAUCAGGUGAAUUCCCUCACGGGAGUUGUUCAGGAGGAAGUGUCGGUAGUGCAAGAUUUCCCCGAUGAAUUUCUGGAGGAAUUACCAGGAAUGCCACCGAACAGAGACAUUGAAUUUCUGAUUGAGUUAUUGCCCGGCACAGCCCCAAUAUCCAAGAGACCUUAUCGGAUGCCCCCGAACGAUUUGGAAGAGAUCAAGAAGCAAAUUAAUGAGCUAUUGGAGAAGGGAUAUAUUCAGUCAAGCUCCUCACCUUGGGGAGCCCCAGUUCUUUUGGUAGAGAAGAAGGAUGGAACCCUGAGAAUGGUUGUGGAUUAUCUUUUGUUGGAUGAUGUGACCAUCAAGGACAAGUACCCUUUGCCGAUGAUUAAUGAUUUAUUUGAUCAGCUAGUUGGAGCCAAGUUAUUCUCCAAGAUCGAUCUUCGAUCAGGGUAUCAUUAG
rnacentral:rRNA from 1 species